rnacentral:rRNA from 1 species
UACGGGGGGGGCAAGCGUUGUUCGGAAUUACUGGGCGUAAAGGGCUCGUAGGCGGCCAACUAAGUCGGACGUGAAAUCCCCAGGCUCAACCUGGGAACUGCGUCCGAUACUGGAUGGCUUGAAUUCGGGAGAGGGAUGCAGAAUUCCAGGUGUAGCGGUGAAAUGCGUAGAUAUGUGGAGGAAUACCGAUGGCGAAGGCAGCCCCCUGGGAUAACACUGACGCUCAUGCACGAAAGCGUGGGGAGCAAACAGG